AUGAAAAAUGUGAGAUUUCUCAAAGUGGAAAAGCAGGACUCUAUUAAGUGGCUUCCCAAGUCUCCUAAACUGUAUGGCGGCCAUAACUGGAGCUCCCAGGGCUCUCGCUGGUCCUCGUUAAAAGGAAAGGAAAGUUUUCGCGGUGGAAACCUGUACAAAUUCAGCUCUGCUAAUGGAAAAUGGAGGGAAGGAAGGAUCAGUCCCGAGCAAGAAGCAGAGGAACUGGAGGAUCCUGAUGAUGAACCUAUUUCCAAGUUUUCUGGCAGUCUGUUUGAUACCGAUGAUAGCAUGAGAGAUCAAAGAAAUACCAGAACAGCUCUUCAAGAAAAGCACAAGUUGGCAAUGAAAGGGAAGACUCUUCCAGGGACUAACAUUAAGGUGCAGCCACCCAUCUCAGCAGCGGGCAGCUUUCCCAGUGAGAGCAGACGCAUCCUGGAGGAAUCAAGGCCAGUAGAUGUGCCGCAGCCCCACCUGAAGGUAACCAUUACUGUGUGCAGUCAAAUGGGGAGUCUUGGUAUUAGCAUUGCUGGUGGAAAGGGCUCAUCUCCAUAUAAAGACAAUGAUGAGGGGAUCGUGAUUGCACGGCUGCAGAAAGAUGGUCCAACAGACUUGGCUGGGGUACAAGCAGCAGAUAGAGUGGCAGAGGCAUCCCUUGUUUCAGAACCCAAUGCUUUUGGUGCUGGUCCCACUGAAGCUUCAUCCAAGGGCAGUCCCUUCCCAACAGUGAACCACAUCAUAACAAUACCUCGGAUAAUCCUCACGCACCCUUCCACUUCUGAUGAAGAUACCGACCAGUUGCCCCCAGACCCGGAUGGCUUAGAGCCUGAGGAGCCACACAGCACAGAAGGCCAUGCCUAUUUGGACUGUCUGAACAGUGCUUUUUAUCCUCCCUAAUAAAGUACUUCUCUGGAAGGAGUUCACGGGUGGUUUUCUUUCCCACUGUUUGAUUAUGUUUAAUGUAGUACUUGAACCGCUAUGCCUUAUUUGUAGGGAAAACCAUUACACAGAAGAUGGGUUUGAGCUGGGGGAGCAGAACCCAUGUUUGUAUUUCUUUGCCUUGAACUUUCCUUUGGCCAGAAUCUGUGCACUUGAAACAAAAUGUGCUGAGUGAGGUUAUGUGAAUGUGACUACAUGUUUCAAUAGCCACUUGUAAGGGUGUCCAACAGAACCUAAAUACAAUGGUGAAAAGAGCAUGUGAUUUUUAUUCAGAAGGUACUUUACCCAUAUGGAAACACACUGAAAACAAUUGUAUAGUUUGGGGGGUAUUUUUUAAAACUUGAGUCCAUGUUUUGUCUAUAUUGCUCACCCUUUUUGCUACCCCAGUUUCCUUUGAAUUGUUCCUUUUAAUGUUGUUUUCUAUGUGAACAAAAAAUCCUUUUCCGUCUUUUACAUAGUGCUGUUGGUUUGGGUUUUUUUUUCUUCCCUGCAGAGACAUGUUAUUUACAAAUGUUAUUUCCACUGGAUUCUGUAUCUUAUUCUAGUGUAAUAAAGAAUAGUUUCUCUAGGAAUUGGUAAUGCAAAUGUGUAUCAGAUUUAGACAGGACCUGUAAAUUAUGUUUUAUGAGGUCAAAAUGCAGGAGGUGUCUUACACAACUAUGCACCUGAAACUGAACUGAAAAUCAAUUUCUUAUACUUGAGGAACUGAGACUCUUUUAUUUCUUCUCCUGACUUGCAUAUAAGCAGAACACCUCAAUUUUUCCUUAUUGUGAUAUGCCAGUAUUUCAUGUAUAUAUAUGUGUGUGUAUACAUGAGAUAAGCUUUUAAGAGCAAAUGUUCUUGUAUAACAGUGUUCAAUCCUUCAAUUCUCUUCACUGCUCUUCAGGUUUUGAGGUGCUUAAGAAGAACCUUUUGGGGUUGAUCUUUGAGGUUCCAUAGUGCUGCCUUAAAUCAGAGGCGGGGUCUGGCUCUGCUAGACUGGGAUGUCAUGACGUUUUUCAUGUGCAUAAAGCAUGCAUUUAUGGGUUUUAUGAUGUGUAUCAAUUUCUUUUCCUGUAAAUAUAAUAUAGUACAACUCAGUGACAUGGUAAAUCCUCAUCUUUUAAUCACAUUCUGAGGGAUUUCUCAGGUGAUCGUUCGUAUAUGACUUGAAUGAAUGCUGGUAGCUGGCUUUUCUGGAGCAAGGAGUUCCCAGGAGAGUAUGGCUGUCACAGAGUUAGAACAGUAUCUCCUACCAAUAAAAGGGAUAUUUUAUCUUGAAAAGAUAGGUUUGCAAUAACGCUAUGAUAUGAAGAUUUCUCUUGACUCUCAACUGCAUCCGCUGUGGCUUUUUCAUUAUCUUGUACGUCAGCAUCUUAAUUGAAGAUAGCAAUAGGAAUAUUACACUAAAUUUUCAUUCAUUUACAAAAUGAAC
rnacentral:lncRNA from 1 species